CGGACGGGUGAGUAAUGUCUGGGAAACUGCCUGAUGGAGGGGGAUAACUACUGGAAACGGUAGCUAAUACCGCAUAACGUCGCAAGACCAAAGAGGGGGACCUUAGGGCCUCUUGCCAUCGGAUGUGCCCAGAUGGGAUUAGCUAGUAGGUGGGUAACGGCUCACCUAGGCGACGAUCCCUAGCUGGUCUGAGAGGAUGACCAGCCACACUGGAACUGAGACACGGUCCAG
rnacentral:rRNA from 1 species